rnacentral:rRNA from 1 species
UACGUAGGGGGCAAGCGUUGUCCGGAAUCAUUGGGCGUAAAGCGCGUGUAGGCGGCUCGGUAAGUCUGCUGUGAAAGUCCAGGGCUCAACCCUGGGAUGCCGGUGGAUACUGUCGAGCUCGAGUCCGGAAGAGGCGAGUGGAAUUCCUGGUGUAGCGGUGAAAUGCGCAGAUAUCGGGAAGAACACCCGUGGCGAAGGCGGCUCUCUGGGACGGUACUGACGCUGAGACGCGAAAGCGUGGGGAGCGAACAGG